UAUUUUAGAGAGAGCAUGAGCAAGAGAGACAGAGGCAGAGAAUCUCCAGCAGAAUCGGAGCUCAGCACAGAGUUUCUCACGACCCUGAGAUCAUGGCCUGAGCUGAAAUCAAGCUUAACUGACUGAACCACCCAGGCACCCCCAUGUAUUAUUUUGGAGGAAGACCAUUUCAUUCAGAGAGAACACGAAGCAAGAAGCUUGUUUUGGCGAAUAAAAUUACCCACAGCUGCUUCAGAUGGGUCAUUCCUUCUGGGAGGAAAACCAUGUGGGAUACUUAGAGCAGGUGCUUGGUACUUGACCAGCUUCUUCCAUUUAAACAAGCUUGAACUGUGGUACCUGACGUUGAGGCGCCACUCUACAGAUGUGUUUGCAAGAAUUGGAAAAUUGCCUCUCAUAUUACAAGAACUGGUAGACGAUGGUAAAAAAAAACUUUUGCUUCCAUAUAAGAAUUUUCAGUCAACGUGAGACCACAGUGCAGUAAAUUUGGAAACACUGAUAGUAUUUAAACUGGCAACUGAGUAUGGGGAGAAAACAACUCUCGGGUCCCUCGGCCCUCACAUCACCAUAACGUUGGGCACAUUACUCCGUCAACCAAAGGGCAAGGACAGAAUUGUUAUUGUCCAAGAAAGCCUGCAGUAAUGGAUUUUUACACCCUUGAAAGAAGCACUUGGAAGAACUGGAGAUUAUCCAGAGAAAGGUAAUUAGGAAAAAAAAAAAAAAAGAAUGCUGGGGGUUUCUGAGGAGUUACGGUUUCUUAACCUAGAGGGGAAAAUAAGUCUGAGAGGUUUCUACAUGAAUAAAUUGAAAUUAUAAAAAAAAAAA